rnacentral:rRNA from 1 species
CCUACGGGGGGCAGCAGUCGAGAAUCAUUCACAAUGGGGGAAACCCUGAUGGUGCGACGCCGCUUGGAGUCCUUCCUUUCUUCUUCUUUUCCCCCCCUUUCCUUUUUUCUCCCCUUCCACAGAUAGUACCACAAGAGGAAUAGACGGCUAACUCUGUGCCAGCAGCCGCGGUAAUACCGAGGUCUCAAGCGUUGUUCGGAAUCACUGGGAGUAAAGCGUGCGUAGGCUGUUUCGUAAGUCGUGUGUGAAAGGCGCGGGCUCAACCCGCGGACGGCACAUGAUACUGCGAGACUAGAGUAAUGGAGGGGGAACCGGAAUUCGCGGUGUAGCAGUGAAAUGCGUAGAUAUGACGAAGAACCCCGAUUGCGAAGGCAGCUUGCUGCAGCGGAACUGACGCUGAUGCUCGAAAGCGCGGGUAGCGAACAGGAGGAGAGAAAAAAGGAGGC